CUGGACAAUUUGAGGAAAGAGCUCAUGAAAAUUUAUCAAUCAAAAAAACAAAAAAAGAAGGUUAUAAGAAAGAAAAAAGAAAUCAUAAAAGACAAUUUUCUGAUAAACUUUGUGGGUUAAGCAACUAUAUAUUUAGCUCUAAUAACGUGGAAUAAUCUAUGGAAGCAAAACAAAUACCGCAGCAGGGGCCAAGAGCGUGGGGCUGGCGCUUGCAAGCAUCGGCAGGGGAUAAGAGCCUG
rnacentral:lncRNA from 1 species